UACGAAGGGGGCUAGCGUUGCUCGGAAUCACUGGGCGUAAAGGGUGCGUAGGCGGGUCUUUAAGUCCGGGGUGAAAUCCUGGAGCUCAACUCCAGAACUGCCUUUGAUACUGAAGAUCUUGAGUUCGGGAGAGGUGAGUGGAACUGCGAGUGUAGAGGUGAAAUUCGUAGAUAUUGGGAAGAACACCGGUGGCGAAGGCGGCUCACUGGCUCAUUACUGACGCUCAGGCGCGAUAGCGUGGGGAUCAAACAGG
rnacentral:rRNA from 1 species